rnacentral:rRNA from 1 species
CCUACGGGUGGCAGCAGUGGGGAAUAUUGGGCAAUGGGCGCAAGCCUGACCCAGCAACGCCGCGUGAAGGAAGAAGGCUUUCGGGUUGUAAACUUCUUUUCUCAGGGACGCAGAAAGUGACGGUACCUGAGGAAUAAGCCACGGCUAACUACGUGCCAGCAGUCGCGGGAAUCCGUAGGUGGCAAGCGUUAACCGGAUUCAUUGGGUGUAAAGGGCGUGUAGGCGGGAGCGCAAGUCAGAUGUGAAAACUCAGGGCUCAACCCUGAUCCUGCAUUUGAAACUGGGUUUCUUGAGUGCUGGAGAGGCAAUCGGAAUGCCGGGUGUAGCGGUGAAAUGCGUAGAUAUACGGAGGAACACCAGUGGCGAAGGCAGAUUGCUGGACAGUAACUGACGCUGAGGCGCGAAAGCGUGGGGAGCGAACAGGAUUAGAUACCCUAGUAGUC